rnacentral:lncRNA from 1 species
AACGACUUUGGUGUAGUAUCGUCAUGUAAAGGCUGGCCAAAAUGUGCUUGCAGACGUGCGGAAAUGAUGAACUGUGCUGACACCGGUGAUCACGUGGUAGCUCAGUGGGUCUGUAUUCACCAAUCAGAGUGCAACGCUAGAAGUGACAGAAUAAAGAAAUACUACGAUGCUGGAGGAUGUAGUAGGGGAUUCGGCCAUGAGAGUAGAAAAUGCGGUGAUUGCAGUACACUCGGAUAAUUAAUGUUUAAA